ACACAUUGACAAAUCAUCACCUUUUAAGCCCACUUCAGGUUAGUAUGGCGAACUUGUUAAUGAACAGCUUCAUUUGCUACACAUCCAGAAGUUACGGAGCAACAUUAGCAUUCAUUUGGAACCGUGUUUCUGGCCACCUGAUGAAUCUGACCUGUGUGGUGCUUCAGAAAUAAUAACAGCAUUGAGAACAGCAACAGCGGUGACAAGAGCUAUUACAACGCCAUGCAACACAACAACAGAGGACAGACAGCACUCAGCACCAGAUGGGCGCUUCCUAUGCCAGGCAGGAAAUGGCACUGAGCUCCCUCGCCAUCAUAUUUCAUUUUAGCAGAAAACAGAGAUGAUCAUCACUUCAUCCUCGACACAUCCAUCCCCCAACGGGGCCUAACGUGAAUACCAAUACGGCCGGCACACGUUGCAAUUAAUGGAGCCAAGAUGUCAGGAACACCGCAGAGGCAAGCUUCGAGCCUCCUGCUUCAGGAAAAGAGAGGCAGAUGUGAUGUGAGCAGAGAUGACUUCUCUGUUCUCGGGGGGGGUGGGAUUCCUCUUGUCCCCCCUUUCCCUACCUCCAUCUGCCCAUAUGUGCAAGGAUCCCCAGUAUCAUCUUUACUUAGGGGAAUCUGCUUUGAAAUAUAUCGGCUUUAUAAAUGCCUGUCUCUUUCUAUUUGAAUUUUUUUACACAGAGCCGAGAAGCAU